AGAGUUUGAUCCUGGCUCAGAACGAACGCUGGCGGCGCGCCUAACACAUGCAAGUCGAGCGAGAACGGUGCCUUCGGGUGCUUAGUAAAGCGGCGCACGGGUGAGUAACACGUGGGUAAUCUGCCCUUGAGUGGGGGAUAACUGUCCGAAAGGACAGCUAAUACCGCAUAAGACCACAGGGUCUCCGGAUCCAGAGGUCAAAGGGGGUCGUUUUUGGGCGGCACUCGCUUAAGGAUGAGCCCGCGGUCCAUUAGGUUGUUGGUGGGGUAAUGGCCUACCAAGCCUUCGAUGGAUAGCUGGUCUGAGAGGAUGAUCAGCCACACUGGAACUGAGACAUGGUCCAGACUCCUACGGGAGGCAGCAGUGGGGAAUUUUGCGCAAUGGGCGAAAGCCUGACGCAGCGACGCCGCGUGGGUGAUGAAGGCCUUUGGUCGUAAAGCCCUGUCAAGGGGGAAGAACGGCAUGGGAGUAAUGUUUCAUGUUUGACGGUACCCCUGAAGGAAGCACUGGCUAACUCCGUGUUAGCAGUUGCGGUAAUACGGAGAGUGCAAGCGUUGUUCGGAAUCAUUGGGCGUAAAGCGCAUGUAGGCGGCUUGGAAAGUCUGAAGUGAAAGCCCGGGGUUUAACCCCGGAAGUGCUCUGGAAACUGACAAGCUUGAAUCCUGGAGGGGCGAGUGGAAUUCCCAGUGUAGGGGUGAAAUCCGUAGAGAUUGGGAGGAACACCAGUGGCGAAGGCGGCUCGCUGGACAGUGAUCGACGCUGAGAUGCGAAAGCGUGGGGAGUAAAUAGGAUUAGAUACCCUGGUAGUCCACGCCGUAAACGAUGGGUACUAGUUGUCGCGGGUAUCGACCCCUGCGGUGACGAAGCUAAUGCAUUAAGUACCCCGCCUGGGGAGUACGGCCGUAAGGCUAAAACUCAAAGGAAUUGACGGGGGCCCGCACAAGCGGUGGAGCAUGUGGUUUAAUUUGAUGCAAUGUGAAGAAUUUUACCUGGGUUUGAUAUUUGGAGAAUUUGCUUGAAAGAAUGGAGUGUUUUUUUGAGGAAUUCCAAGAUAGGUGCUGUAUGGCUGUCGUCAGUUUGUGUUGUGAGAUGUUGGGUUAAGUCUCGCAAUGAGUGUAAUCCUUGUCUUUAGUUGUUAGUAUUAAGUUGGGGAUUUUAGGGAGAUUGUUGGAGUUAAAUUGGAGGAAGGCGGGGAUGACGUUAAGUCAUUAUGGCUUUUAUGCCCAGGGUUACACACGUGCUACAAUGGUCGGUAUAAUGUGUUGCUAACUCGUAAGAGGGAGCUAAUUAUAAAAAACCGGUCCUAGUUCGGAUUGGAGUUUGUAAUUUGACUCCAUGAAGGCGGAAUCGCUAGUAAUCGGAGAUUAGUAUGUUCCGGUGAAUAUGUUCCCGGGCCUUGUACACACCGCCCGUCACACCAUGGGAGUUGUUUGCACCAGAAGUCGCUGGCCUAACCCGUAAGGGGAGGAGGCGCCGAAGGUGUGAAUGGCGACUGGGGUGAAGUUGCAACAAGGUA
rnacentral:rRNA from 1 species